rnacentral:rRNA from 1 species
GGCAGCUCGAGUGAUGAUCACUAUUAUUGGGCCUAAAGCGUCCGUAGCCGGUUGAACAAGUCCUUCGGCAAAUCCACUCGCUCAACGAGUGGGCUCUCGAGGGAAACUGUUCGACUUGGGGCCGGGAGAUCUGAGGGGUACGUCUAGGGUAGGAGUGAAAUCCUGUAAUCCUAGACGGACCGCCGGUGGCGAAAGCGCCUCAGAAGAACGGACCCGACGGUCAGGGACGAAAGCUAGGGUCUCGAACCGG